rnacentral:rRNA from 1 species
UACGAAGGGGGCUAGCGUUGUUCGGAAUUACUGGGCGUAAAGCGCGCGUAGGCGGUGAUCUUUGUCAGAGGUGAAAGCCUGGGGCUCAACUCCAGAAUUGCCUUUGAAACGGGAUCGCAUGAGUCCGAGAGAGGAUGGCGGAAUUCCUAGUGUAGAGGUGAAAUUCGUAGAUAUUAGGAAGAACACCAGUGGCGAAGGCGGCCAUCUGGCUCGGUACUGACGCUCAGGCGCGAAAGCGUGGGGAGCAAACAGG